rnacentral:rRNA from 1 species
UAACACAUGCAAGUCGAACGGUAACAGACCGCUGGGAUCCCUUCGGGGUGACCUUGGUGCUGACGAGUGGCGGACGGGUGAGUAACACUUGGGAAUCUGCCCAGUAGUGGGGGACAACCCGGGGAAACCCGGGCUAAUACCGCAUACGCCCUACGGGGAAAGGGGGCCUCGUUCUUGAAAGCUCUCGCUAUUGGAUGAGCCCAAGUCGGAUUAGCUUGUUGGUGAGGUAAAAGCUCACCAAGGCGACGAUCCGUAGCUGGUCUGAGAGGACGAUCAGCCACACUGGGACUGAGACACGGCCCAGACUCCUACGGGAGGCAGCAGUGGGGAAUAUUGGACAAUGGGCGAAAGCCUGAUCCAGCAAUGCCGCGUGUGUGAAGAAGGCCUGCGGGUUGUAAAGCACUUUCAGUGGAGAAGAAAAGCCGGACGCUAAUACCGACCGGUCUUGACGUAACCUACAGAAGAAGCACCGGCUAACUCCGUG